AAAAAAGUUAUUUAUCCUCCCCACCGCCCCCUCAGUCCCUCUACAUUUCUGUCCCCGUUCCCAAUUCUCCCAUGGUGGCCACAUCCCUCACCCCACAGCCUGGCGCCCUUUCUCAUGAACGCCGGCGCUCACUGGUCCGGCCAACGCUCCCCUUCGUCACCACCGCCGGUACUCCCUGGUCAGGUGGAGGCUCCCCUUCGCAGUCGCUGCUCUUCCUCCCCUUCAUGUCGAAUCGGUCACCGAAGUGGCCGGGGAGGCCCUCAAGGUCGGCAUGCUCGCGCCAGCGCUAGGCGCCGGUGGAGGCAGAGGCGGAGGCGUGGCACUCGCAUGCGCCUUCUCUACCCCGCUCCUUCUCCGAAUCCGGUGGCCGAAGUGCUCGAGGAGACGCUCGAGCUCGGCAUGCUCGCCGGCGACGGGCUUCUCGCUCCUCCGGAUGCCCUCGCCGUCGCCGCCAUGAGCCUCUCCAUCCUCUCUUGCACGGUCGUCUGGGCCCAGAUUUCCCGAGGGAGAAGAAGGAGGUGCCGAAAGGGUAUGGGAGUAACAAGUCUGAAUCGAAGAGUAUAUAUGUUUUGAUUUUGAGUUGCAUUGCCCGGUAUUUUUAUUGUUCUAAGAAAUCCAUGGAGAUGUCUAUGGAACAUUUCCUUGAUGUGAUAGGCAUAUUUGUUUACCACAUUCAGUUGUUGGCCCUGCUGUUGACGUCCAUGGUGGCGCUGAUGAUGAUCUUGGCAAGGGUAAUGCUUUGAUUUCAUAGACCUGUUGCUUUGAUAGCUAGAGAAUUAAUUUCUCAAGGACUUUGUGAUUUAGUGCUCUUAUGGUAUUUCAUAAAUCUGGCAAUAUAAAAUUAAUAUCUAAUUCUGGUUAUGUAAUGACCGAUUGUUAUCUUGCUUCUUACUCAUGUAUCUUCAGAUGGGGUAAUGAACUUCUCUUCUUUCUCCUCAUGUAUGUUCAGAUUUGAUGUAUCUGCCUGGGGUCUUGGUAUGUCCUUGAGCACGCAUCAGAUAUGUAUGUAUCUGUUUGUAUAUUAGUGCAGUUUGUAGUUCAUUCGGUGCAUGUCCUUAAACCAAAGAAUUUUAGACAUCUCAAGUAGCAAAUUACAUGGUUUGGUGUGUCAUACAUGAUUUAAUAGAAAGCACCACCACAGCCUUGCG
rnacentral:rRNA from 1 species